rnacentral:lncRNA from 1 species
UGUCCUCUGUUCCUAGAGUCCCAGCCUCUGUGGCCCUAUGACCUGCAGGUAUUGGGAGAUCCACAACUAAGUCGCCAGGACCCCCUGGAAGCCUAGAAAUGGUAUUGCUGCCUUUAAGCCAGACCUGAUCAUUUUUCUGGAGGAAGGAAAAGAGCCCUGGAAUAUGAAGAGACAUGAGAUGGUGGAAGAAUCCCCAGUUAUAUGUUCUCAUUUUGCUCAAGAUCUUUGGCCAGAGCAGGGCAUAGAAGAUUCUUUCCAAAAAGUGAUAUUGAGAAGGUAUGAAAAAUGUGGACAUGAGAAUUUACACUUAAAAAUUGGUUAUACCAAUGUGGAUGAGUGUAAG